AUUGAACGCUGGCGGCAGGCUUAACACAUGCAAGUCGAGCGGGGUGAUGGUGCUUGCACUAUCACUUAGCGGCGGACGGGUGAGUAAUGCUUAGGAAUCUGCCUAUUAGUGGGGGACAACAUCUCGAAAGGGAUGCUAAUACCGCAUACGUCCUACGGGAGAAAGCAGGGGAUCACUUGUGACCUUGCGCUAAUAGAUGAGCCUAAGUCGGAUUAGCUAGUUGGUGGGGUAAAGGCCUACCAAGGCGACGAUCUGUAGCGGGUCUGAGAGGAUGAUCCGCCACACUGGGACUGAGACGCGGCCCAGACCCCUACGGGAGGCAGCAGUGGGGAAUAUUGGACAAUGGGGGGAACCCUGAUCCAGCCAUGCCGCGUGUGUGAAGAAGGCCUUAUGGUUGUAAAGCACUUUAAGCGAGGAGGAGGCUCUCUUGGUUAAUACCCAAGAUGAGUGGACGUUACUCGCAGAAUAAGCACCGGCUAACUCUGUGCCAGCCGCCGCAGUAA
rnacentral:rRNA from 1 species